rnacentral:lncRNA from 1 species
CCAAUUCGGUUACUGAUGAAAGGUUACCCAAUGUAAAACGUUCUCGCAUUUUACCAGCAUUGGAAUUGCAAUCUAAUACAUCAUAUACAGACAUUCGUGAAAUGUGAAGUUUAACCUUGAACAAUUUCAUUUCACCCAGGAAUCUUUACUAUUAUUUACACAAGAGUUGAUGGCUUGGUCUCGCAGAGCAUUAAUAUUUACAUUUGCAUUAGAAUACAAAAGUGCAACCCCUAAAAGGGUUGGAUUUAGCAAUAAUUUAAGAUAUAGCAAAACUGGGGGUGGCGGCACAUCUUCACCAUCAUCUCAGGCUGGAACAUCUCUUCAAUUCCGGUUUAUGAAUAUCCUUCUUGGAGACGCUCAAAAUGCCACCUUGUUCUUCCACCUUUUCUAUGAGAAGUUUUAGCAGAGGCACACUUGACAGUGUAAUGCAUGAACCUACCAUUAUCAACUUCUUCUGUUCAAUCAAAAGAGUAAGUACAUU